GACGAACGCUGGCGGCGUGCUUAACACAUGCAAGUCGAACGGACAGGCCCUGCUUUUGUGGGGUGCUCGAUUGGCGAACGGGUGAGUAACACGUGAGUAACCUGCCCUUGACUUUGGGAUAACUUCAGGAAACUGGGGCUAAUACCGGAUAGGAGCUCCUGCUGCAUGGUGGGGGUUGGAAAGUUUCGGCGGUUGGGGAUGGACUCGCGGCUUAUCAGCUUGUUGGUGGGGUAGUGGCUUACCAAGGCUUUGACGGGUAGCCGGCCUGAGAGGGUGACCGGCCACAUUGGGACUGAGAUACGGCCCAGACUCCUACGGGAGGCAGAAGUGGGGAAUAGUGCACUAUGGGCGGAAGCCUGAUGCAGUAACGCCGCGUGCGGGAUGACGGCCUUCGGUUUGUAAACCGCUUUCGCCUGUGACGAAGCGUGAGUGACGGUAAUGGGUAAAGAAGCACCGGCUAACUACGUG
rnacentral:rRNA from 1 species